rnacentral:rRNA from 1 species
AUUGAACGCUGGCGGAAUGCUUUACACAUGCAAGUCGAACGGCAGCACGGGGCAACCUGGUGGCGAGUGGCGAACGGGUGAGUAAUACAUCGGAACGUGCCCAAUCGUGGGGGAUAACGUAGCGAAAGCUACGCUAAUACCGCAUACGAUCUACGGAUGAAAGCGGGGGAUCGCAAGACCUCGCGCGAAUGGAGCGGCCGAUGGCAGAUUAGGUAGUUGGUGGGGUAAAGGCUCACCAAGCCGACGAUCUGUAGCUGGUCUGAGAGGACGACCAGCCACACUGGGACGGAGACACGGCCCAGACUCCUACGGGAGGCAGCAGUGGGGAAUUUUGGACAAUGGGCGCAAGCCUGAUCCAGCCAUUCCGCGUGCAGGAUGAAGGCCUUCGGGUUGUAAACUGCUUUUGUACGGAACGAAAAGGCUCUGGUUAAUACCCGGGGCUCAUGACGGUACCGUAAGAAUAAGCACCGGCUAACUACGUGCCAGCCGCCGCCGUAA